CUAAGCCACAGCUCUGCUUCUUAUAUAGCCUCCUCCUUAUUAUAAUACCCUACCUCUUCUCCUCUUCCCUCCAAUGGCGUCUGAAAUAAUGCUAAGCAAAAUUGUAAGUCUGCAGUCUGCACGUAGCCUCCCGGUCUCGCCUGAGCAAUUUUUACAUGAAGUUAGCAGCCCCAAAGCUCGUGCUAUAUCUACCGCCGCUAGUGUUGCAGUUUAGCCCUUUUGUACCUUCUUUACCCUUGGCUUUAUCUGUGUCAAAAUCAACGGCUACAUUAAAUCCUCUUUACAAUAUUUCUGUGUUAAUUUGUUUUUAAUUUAACAAAAAAAUGCCUCAUAUCACCUUUAGCUUAUUUUCUUCUGAUUCAGUGAAAAAACAAAGCUAGUCAACGAGGCUGAAAUUAAAAUAGCAGUGUCAACGUGGGGUUUAUUGCAUUUUUCUUACUGUUUUACUCCUAAGUCCACUGCUAUAUUGUAUACUUUUUAUUGGAAGUUUUUGUUUUUCUAAUUUGGGAUUUUUUAAUAUGUUGGCUAUGAUUUAAAAAUUUAUCCGCGCUUCUGAGAGUAAUCUAUGAAGCAAACGAUAAAAUAAUGGUUGAAUUUCUUAAUAUGAGCCUAUAUUUUCUUAUUUUUCACUUUAUUUUAGAAUAAAGUGAAUUUUUGACAAAAGAAAAAUUAUUCAGCUUAUUUGAAUUUUGGCAGUGAUGAUAUAUAAAUACAGCUUUAAUGCCAGUUCUGCUUCUGAAAUUCCGUGAUUGAUAGAGCUGUUUAAUUAUCUGAGCCUCAAUUUCAUUAAGAAAAUUACGUUUUACACUUAGUCUUAGCUUUUAUGGUUGGAAAAAAUGUUUUAAAGUGUGUUAUUAAGAAAUGAUUGAUUUUGGUUAUUAAGAGGCCAGUGAUGUAUGGUAAUUGUCCGUACCAUAUGAGGAGUUUAACAGCUCCUUUGAUUUUAAAUUUACCUUAAUUUCUGAGGUCUCUUUAAUCUUCUUUCAGUUUUCCUUAUAAAAAAGUACUUUUAGUAAGUGACUCAAUUUAUAUAAUUGCAUCAUAUCUAGUAAAAGUUUUUGUUUUUAUUGCUCGAUGUGCGAAGCGUCUUGUGUUUAUGGAGGGUCUGAGCAACAAUGCAAGCAUAAGUGUCUGUUUCUACCGUUCGAGCCCAUGACAAUUAGGUCGUAUGGAGAUAACUUUACGUUGUUUCAAGCGCUUAAUUGCUAAUGAUGAUAUAAUCAUUUUAAUAUGAGGUGUAGUUGAUCCAAGUCCCUGCUUUUGCAGGGGGAACCUCUUGGUGAAGCUGCAUUACAAAUGAUCAUAUUGGAUUCUACUGAAGCUAUAAUUUUAUUUGAGUUUUUCAGAAUGGGAUUUUUUUCUUGAUUUCUUAGUAUGCUGUAAAAAUGAGUUUCACUAUACCCUUGCUCUUUAAAUGUGGAUGUAGGGUCUGAAAAACUCAUAAAGUUAAAGUGCUGUCAUCAGCUUCUUCACUUGUACUAACAUGUUUGAAGUCAAAUAAAAGCACUACAUUUUUUGCCUUUGUU